rnacentral:lncRNA from 1 species
UCAAAACAAAUCUUUUUUUAGUCAUUGAGAGAGUAAGACAAUGUUAGACUAUUUGGUGAAUAAAACAAGUUUAAAUAUUAUUUGGAAUGAAAUAUUUUUGAACUUUUAUUACAUGUGACAAAUAUGGUGACAAAUAUUUCAUUACAUCCUAUAUACAUCCCACGUGGGUUUCUUUUACAGGGCCAUUGCAGAAAAAGACAAAAAGAAAAAAAGUAUAUCCAAUCUUCAUUCCCACCCAUUUCCUUCCAUCCUCGUGCAACAUCGUCAUCUUCAAGUGUCAUGCCUAUGAUCACUCACACCAUUCAAGCAUCAUCACCAUCAUUCCAUACGAAUAAAAAACAACAAAAAUAAAUAACAAAGCAGUUUGCUAUUCAUAUUCAUGAACACAGACACAAAUACAUUUCAUCCCCAUACAUACAUUGGGGACCACAAGCAAUUCAUCACGCGUAUUAUCACACAAAACUCAUGCUCAACCCAUACGGCUACCAAUACCAUCACCCAUCAUCCAAAAUCAUACAUACAUCAAUUAAC